rnacentral:rRNA from 1 species
UUGCAUAUCUCCAAUAAGCGGAGGAAAAGAAACCAACAGGGAUUGCCCUAGUAACGGCGAGUGAAGCGGCAACAGCUCAAAUUUGAAAUCUGGCUCUCGGGCCCGAGUUGUAAUUUGUAGAGGAUGCUUUUGAUGCGGUGCCUUCCGAGUUCCCUGGAACGGGACGCCAUAGAGGGUGAGAGCCCCGUCUGGUUGGAUGCCAAAUCUCUGUAAAGCUCCUUCGACGAGUCGAGUAGUUUGGGAAUGCUGCUCUAAAUGGGAGGUAUAUGUCUUCUAAAGCUAAAUACCGGCCAGAGACCGAUAGCGCACAAGUAGAGUGAUCGAAAGAUGAAAAGCACUUUGAAAAGAGAGUUAAAAAGUACGUGAAAUUGUUGAAAGGGAAGCGUUUAUGACCAGACUUGGGCUUGGUUAAUCAUCUGGGGUUCUCCCCAGUGCACUUUUCCAGUCCAGGCCAGCAUCAGUUUUCGCCGGGGGAUAAAGGCUUCGGGAAUGUGGCUCUCUCCGGGGAGUGUUAUAGCCCGUUGCGUAAUACCCUGGCGGGGACUGAGGUUCGCGCAUCUGCAAGGAUGCUGGCGUAAUGGUCAUCAACGACCCGUCUUGACCCACGGGACCAA